AAACGAUCAAAUGAUGAAAUAAAUCGGGAAUUCAAAGAAUGCAACUCCAGGCACUGUAGGGCGCAGAUUUUUCCCUCCGAGGUAUAAUGUUGCAGUGACUC